rnacentral:misc_RNA from 1 species
UCGGACUACUGGGGUUUCUAAUCCUGUUUGCUCCCCACGCUUUCGUGCAUGAGCGUCAGUGUCGACCCAGGGGGCUGCCUUCGCCAUCGGUGUUCCUCCACAUCUCUACGCAUUUCACUGCUACACGUGGAAUUCCACCCCCCUCUGCCGCACUCAAGCCCUACAGUCACAAACGCAGUUCCCAGGUUAAGCCCGGGGAUUUCACAUCUGUCUUAUAGAGCCGCCUGCGCACGCUUUACGCCCAGUAAUUCCGAUUAACGCUCGCACCCUACGUAUUACCGCGGCGGCUGACAC